UGGGGAAUAUUGGACAAUGGAGGAAACUCUGAUCCAGCAAUUCUGUGUGUGUGAAGAAGGUUUUAGGACUGUAAAACACUUUUAGUAGGGAAGAAAAAAAUGACGGUACCUACAGAAGAAGCAACGGCUAAAUACGUGCCAGCAGCCGCGGUAAUACGUAUGUUGCGAGCGUUAUCCGGAAUUAUUGGGCUUAAAGGGCAUCUAGGCGGUAAGACAAGUUGAAGGUGAAAACCUGUGGCUCAACCAUAGGCUUGCCUACAAAACUGUUGAACUAGAGUACUGGAAAGGUGGGUGGAACUAAACGAGUAGAGGUGAAAUUCGUAGAUAUGUGUAGGAAUGCCGAUGAUGAAGAUAACUCACUGGACGGAAACUGACGCUGAAGUGCGAAAGCUAGGGGAGCAAACAGG
rnacentral:rRNA from 1 species